AACGAACGCUGGCGGCAGGCCUAACACGUGCAAGUCGAGCGAGAUCUUCGGAUCUAGCGGCGGACGGGUGAGUAACGCGUGGGAAUAUGCCUCUUGGUACGGAAUAGCCUCGGGAAACUGGGAGUAAUACCGUAUGUGCCCUUUGGGGGAAAGAUUUAUCGCCAAGAGAUUAGCCCGCGUUGGAUUAGGUAGUUGGUGGGGUAAUGGCCUACCAAGCCGACGAUCCAUAGCUGGUUUGAGAGGAUGAUCAGCCACACUGGGACUGAGACACGGCCCAGACUCCUACGGGAGGCAGCAGUGGGGAAUCUUAGACAAUGGGGGCAACCCUGAUCUAGCCAUGCCGCGUGAGUGAUGAAGGCCUUAGGGUUGUAAAGCUCUUUCAGCUGGGAAGAUAAUGACGGUACCAGCAGAAGAAGCCCCGGCUAACUCCGUG
rnacentral:rRNA from 1 species